rnacentral:lncRNA from 1 species
CCGGAAAUGGGAACAGUGUGGGACCAGUCACAAGGAUUCAGCCUGCCCGACUUCCAGACCCUUUCUGAAAGUUAGGCUUCUCCCUUCUGCCUGGAGUGAAAUUAGGCCCUGGGAGCCAGACAGACCAGCCUGUGGCUUUGUGAGGAAGUCUUUGGUGCUGCAGCAGGGACAGAAAGGGAAGCACAGGGAACCUGGGGCAAGACCAAAAACCGUUUGAAAUCAACAGAGCAGAGAAACCUGUCUUGCCCAAUCAGCCCCAGAAUCCUCUUCUUUCACAAGCUACUUUCUCAGGUAACCUUGUGGUUUCACCAUGAUCUCUCCACCUCACCCUCUCCCCCAGGACAAGGUGAAGCCUGAAAUUGCAGCACUAUUGAUUUCUGGGAUUUGCGUCAAACAGCAGGAUUUCUACAUGGUAGCUCUAGGACCUGCGGUCC